GUUAGUUCUGUGCUAAAUAAGUAGAUAAAUAAUAAAUAAGUACAUAAAUGCAAUAGCUAACAUUAAUGCAUUGAGCAAUUAUGCAACACAAUUUAACUUGAAGCACGGAAAUUACAAUCCAAACAAACACGAGCAUGAAAAAUGUCCCGUUGCAUUAAGAGUCCUUAUUCUCAUUUAGUAAGUACCUCCAUGCUGAAGGCAGUUGCAUGGAAGGCUUAUUGUUUAUAAUGUCCUGGUGGGGGCUUCUAUUCAGUAUCUCUGUUGUCUCUUGUGUGACCGCUUGUGCUGGCACUAUAAGUGAUUUAAGGACCUUUGCACUGGCCCAAUCUAUAUGUAGCUACUCAGAAAACACUUCUUCAGUCAGUGCUGUGGUAAUCCUUCCUGCUUUGAUAUUCCUCCUAUGCUCUUGUAUUCGUUGAUCGAGCAUCCUAGUAGUGACCCCAAUAUACUCUGCAUGCUUCCUCUCUUGC
rnacentral:lncRNA from 1 species